GGUAAGUGGCAAACGGGUGAGUAACGCGUAGGCAAUCUGCCCUUAAGACUGGGAUAACACUUUGAAAAGGGUGCUAAUACCGGAUACUCUUUUUUUUAUCACAUGAUAGAAAAGGAAAUGAUUUUUCGCUUAAGGAGGAGCCUACGUCUGAUUAGCUUGUUGGUAGGGUAAUGGCCUACCAAGGCUACGAUCAGUAGCUGGUCUGAGAGGAUGAUCAGCCACACUGGAACUGAGACACGGUCCAGACUCCUACGGGAGGCAGCAGUGGGGAAUAUUGCGCAAUGGGGGAAACCCUGACGCAGCGACGCCGCGUGGGUGAAGAAGUUUUUAGGAAUGUAAAGCCUAGUCAAGAGGGAAAAUUAUGAUGGUACCUCUAGAGGAAGCCCCGGCUAAUUACGUGCCAGCAGCCGCGGUAAUACGUAAGGGGCAAGCGUUAUCCGGAUUUAUUGGGCAUAAAGAGCAUGUAGGUGGUAUUUUAAGUCAGAUGUUAAAGGCUGGGGCUCAACCCCAGUUCGCCUCUGAAACUGAAAUACUCGAGGACAGUAGAGGAAAGCGGAACUCACGGUGUAGCGGUGAAAUGCGUAGAUAUCGUGAGGAACACCAGUUGCGAAGGCGGCUUUCUGGCCUGAUCCUGACACUGAGAUGCGAAAGCGUGGGGAGCGAACGGGAUUAGAUACCCCGGUAGUCCACGCCGUAAACGUUGUACACUAGGUGUUGGAGG
rnacentral:rRNA from 1 species